rnacentral:rRNA from 1 species
GAUGAACGCUGGCGGCGUGCCUAAUACAUGCAAGUCGAGCGAACAGACGAUGAGGUUGCUCCUCUGACGUUAGCGUCUGACGGGUGAAUAACACGUUGAUAACCUGCCUAUAAGACUGGGAGAGCUUCGGGAAACCUGGGCUCAUACCGUAUAAUAUAUUAAACCUCAUUGUUCAAUAAUGAAAGACUGUUUUGCGGUAUCUUAUAGAUGGAUCCGCGCCGCAUGAGCUAUUUGGUAAGGGAAGGGCUUACCAAGGCAACGAUCAUUAACCGCCUUGAGAGGGGGACUGGCCAACCGGGACCUGAGACCCGGCCAAGACUCCUACGGGAGGCAGAAGAAGGGAAUCUUCCGAAAUGGGCGAAAGCCUGACGGAGCAACGCCGCGUGAUUGAUGAAGGUCCUCGGAUCGUAAACCUCUGUUAUUAGGGAAGAACAAAUGUGUAAGUAACUAUGCACGCUUUGACGGUAUCUAAUCAGAAAGCCACGGCUAACUACGUG